UGAACUUGACCUGAAACUAGUUUCCUUCA
rnacentral:piRNA from 1 species